UACAGAGGGUGCGAGCGUUGUCCGGAAUUACUGGGCGUAAAGAGCUCGUAGGUGGUUUGUCGCGUUGUUCGUGAAAACUCACAGCUCAACUGUGGGCGUGCGGGCGAUACGGGGCAGACUAGAGUACUGCAGGGGAGACUGGAAUUCCUGGUGUAGCGGUGGAAUGCGCAGAUAUCAGGAGGAACACCGGUGGCGAAGGCGGGGUCUCUGGGCAGUAACUGACGCUGGAGGAGCGAAAGCGUGGGGAGCGAACAGG
rnacentral:rRNA from 1 species